rnacentral:misc_RNA from 1 species
UCCUACUUAUCAUAGGCAGUUUCCUUAGAGUUCCCAGCAUUACCUGUUGGCAACUAAGGACGAGGGUUGCGCUCGUUGCGGGACUUAACCCAACAUCUCACGACACGAGCUGACGACAGCCAUGCAGCACCUGUGUGCACGCCACCCGAAGUGAAGAAAUCCAUCUCUGGAAAUCAAACGUGCCAUGUCAAGGCCUGGUAAGGUUCUUCGCGUUGCCUCGAAUUAAACCACAUGCUCCACCGCUUGUGCGGGUCCCCGUCAAUUUCUUUGAGUUUUAAUCUUGCGACCGUACUCCCCAGGCGGACUGCUUAAUGCGUUAGCUUCGUCACUGAAGGGUAACCCCCCAACAACUAGCAGUCAUCGUUUACAGCGUGGACUAC